UACGUAGGUCCCGAGCGUUGUCCGGAUUUAUUGGGCGUAAAGCGAGCGCAGGUGGUUUAUUAAGUCUGGUGUAAAAGGCAGUGGCUCAACCAUUGUAUGCAUUGGAAACUGGUAGACUUGAGUGCAGGAGAGGAGAGUGGAAUUCCAUGUGUAGCGGUGAAAUGCAUAGAUAUCACGCAGAACCCCGAUUGCGAAGGCAGCAUACCGGCGCCCUACUGACGCUGAGGCACGAAAGUGCGGGGAUCAAACAGG
rnacentral:rRNA from 1 species